rnacentral:rRNA from 1 species
GAUGAACGCUGGCGGCGUGCCUAAUACAUGCAAGUCGAGCGAACGGACGAGAAGCUUGCUUCUCUGAUGUUAGCGGCGGACGGGUGAGUAACACGUGGAUACUCUACCUAUAAGACUGGGAUAAUUUCGGGAAACCGGAUCUAAUACCGGAUGAUAUUUUGAACCGCAUGGUUCAAAAGUGAAAGACGGUCUUGCUGUCACUUAUAGCUGGAUCCGCGCUGCAUUAGCUAGUUGGUAAGGUAACGGCUUACCAAGGCAACGAGGCAUAGCCGACGUGAGAGGGUGAUCGGCCACACUGGAACUGAGACACGGUCAAGACUCCUGAGGUAGGCAGCAGUAGGGAAUCUUACGCAAUAGGCGAGAGCCUGACGGAACAGGGCCGCGUGAGUGGUGACGGUCUUCGGAUCGUAAAACUCGGUUAUUAGGGAAAAACAGAUGUGUAAGGAGCUGUGCAGAGCUUGACGGUACCUAGUCAGAAAGCAACGGCUAACUACGUG